UAUGUGCGACUAGGAUGGAGGCUGAAAAGCUCAGAAAUUGGGUGUUGUCAUCAGCUUCGUCUCCUGUUAGAUGAGAUUGGAGUUAAAUAACAGCACAAGAUUA
rnacentral:snoRNA from 1 species